UACAGAGGUGGCAAGCGUUGUUCGGAAUUACUGGGCGUAAAGGGCGCGUAGGCGGCCAUCUAAGUCAGACGUGAAAUCCCCCGGCUUAACCUGGGAACUGCGUCUGAUACUGGACGGCUUGAGUAUGGGAGAGGGAUGUAGAAUUCCAGGUGUAGCGGUGAAAUGCGUAGAUAUCUGGAGGAACACCGGUGGCGAAGGCGGUGGUCUGGGCCGGAACUGACGCUGAGGAGCGAAAGCGUGGGGAGCGAACAGG
rnacentral:rRNA from 1 species